GCCGAUGUAGCUCAGGUGGUAGAGCGCGUCCUUGGUAAGGACGAGGUCACCGGUUCGAGCCCGGUCAUCGGCUCCA
rnacentral:tRNA from 1 species